rnacentral:rRNA from 1 species
UACAGAGGUCUCAAGCGUUGUUCGGAUUCAUUGGGCGUAAAGGGUGCGUAGGCGGCGCGGUAAGUCGGGUGUGAAAUUUCGGAGCUUAACUUCGAAACUGCAUUCGAUACUGCCGUGCUUGAGGACUGGAGAGGAGACUGGAAUUUACGGUGUAGCAGUGAAAUGCGUAGAGAUCGUAAGGAAGACCAGUGGCGAAGGCGGGUCUCUGGACAGUUCCUGACACUGAGGCACGAAGGCCAGGGGAGCAAACGGG